rnacentral:rRNA from 1 species
AAAGGUUCUUGUUUAUAUAGGAAGACCCGCUGAACUGAAGCCA